rnacentral:rRNA from 1 species
AUUGAACGCUGGCGGCAGGCUUAACACAUGCAAGUCGAGCGGAGAGAGGUAGCUUGCUACUGAUCUUAGCGGCGGACGGGUGAGUAAUGCUUAGGAAUCUGCCUAUUAGUGGGGGACAACAUUUCGAAAGGAAUGCUAAUACCGCAUACGUCCUACGGGAGAAAGCAGGGGAUCUUCGGACCUUGCGCUAAUAGAUGAGCCUAAGUCGGAUUAGCUAGUUGGUGGGGUAAGGGCCUACCAAGGCGACGAUCUGUAGCGGGUCUGAGAGGAUGAUCCGCCACACUGGGACUGAGACACGGACCAGACUCCUACGGGAGGCAGCAGUGGGGAAUAUUGGACAAUGGGCGGAAGCCUGAUCCAGCCAUGCCGCGUGUGUGAAGAAGGCCUUAUGGUUGUAAAGCACUCUAAGCGAGGAGGAGGCUACUUUAGUUAAUACCUAGAGAUAGUGGACGUUACUCGCAGAAUAAGCACCGGCUAACUCUGUGCCAGCCGCCGCAGUAAAAC